UGGACUCACAUUCUUCUUAGAAUUCUCUUG
rnacentral:piRNA from 1 species